rnacentral:tRNA from 1 species
GCCGGAGUGGCGAAAUUGGUAGACGCGCACGACUCAAAAUCGUGUCUCGCAAGGGGUGAGAGUUCAAUUCUCUCCUCCGGCACAA